GAUGAACGCUGGCGGCGUGCCUAAUACAUGCAAGUCGAACGCUUUGUGGUUCAACUGAUUUGAAGAGCUUGCUCAGAUAUGACGAUGGACAUUGCAAAGAGUGGCGAACGGGUGAGUAACACGUGGGAAACCUACCUCUUAGCAGGGGAUAACAUUUGGAAACAGAUGCUAAUACCGUAUAACAAUGACAACCGCAUGGUUGUUAUUUAAAAGAUGGUUCUGCUAUCACUAAGAGAUGGUCCCGCGGUGCAUUAGCUAGUUGGUAAGGUAAUGGCUUACCAAGGCGAUGAUGCAUAGCCGAGUUGAGAGACUGAUCGGCCACAAUGGGACUGAGACACGGCCCAUACUCCUACGGGAGGCAGCAGUAGGGAAUCUUCCACAAUGGGCGAAAGCCUGAUGGAGCAACGCCGCGUGUGUGAUGAAGGGUUUCGGCUCGUAAAACACUGUUGUAAGAGAAGAAUGACAUUGAGAGUAACUGUUCAAUGUGUGACGGUAUCUUACCAGAAAGGAACGGCUAAAUACGUGCCAGCAGCCGCGGUAAUACGUAUGUUCCAAGCGUUAUCCGGAUUUAUUGGGCGUAAAGCGAGCGCAGACGGUUAUUUAAGUCUGAAGUGAAAGCCCUCAGCUCAACUGAGGAAUUGCUUUGGAAACUGGAUGACUUGAGUGCAGUAGAGGAAAGUGGAACUCCAUGUGUAGCGGUGAAAUGCGUAGAUAUAUGGAAGAACACCAGUGGCGAAGGCGGCUUUCUGGACUGUAACUGACGUUGAGGCUCGAAAGUGUGGGUAGCAAACAGGAUUAGAUACCCUGGUAGUCCACACCGUAAACGAUGAGUGCUAGGUGUUUGAGGGUUUCCGCCCUUAAGUGCCGCAGCUAACGCAUUAAGCACUCCGCCUGGGGAGUACGACCGCAAGGUUGAAACUCAAAGGAAUUGACGGGGACCCGCACAAGCGGUGGAGCAUGUGGUUUAAUUCGAAGCAACGCGAAGAACCUUACCAGGUCUUGACAUCCCUUGACAACUCCAGAGAUGGAGUGUUCCCUUCGGGGACAAGGUGACAGGUGGUGCAUGGUUGUCGUCAGCUCGUGUCGUGAGAUGUUGGGUUAAGUCCCGCAACGAGCGCAACCCUUAUUACUAGUUGCCAGCAUUCAGUUGGGCACUCUAGUGAGACUGCCGGUGACAAACCGGAGGAAGGUGGGGAUGACGUCAAAUCAUCAUGCCCCUUAUGACCUGGGCUACACACGUGCUACAAUGGCGUAUACAACGAGUUGCCAACCCGCGAGGGUGAGCUAAUCUCUUAAAGUACGUCUCAGUUCGGAUUGUAGGCUGCAACUCGCCUACAUGAAGUCGGAAUCGCUAGUAAUCGCGGAUCAGCACGCCGCGGUGAAUACGUUCCCGGGUCUUGUACACACCGCCCGUCACACCAUGAGAGUUUGUAACACCCAAAGCCGGUGGGGUAACCUUCGGGAGCCAGCCGUCUAAGGUGGGACAGAUGAUUAGGGUG
rnacentral:rRNA from 1 species